AUUGGAUUCAAUGAAGAUCAAUAUGGCUCUCUAUCUGUUGUGUGCUGCUUUAGCUUUAAGUCUGCUUGUUAUCGCCUUUCUGAUUUAUUCAGUCAAGAAACUGAAGCGAGAAUCACAUGCGUAUUGUGAUGAUACAGCUGCGGUUGCUCUGCAAACAAAUGCACCAGACAGUGGAAUUCAGGAAAACCAGCAGACAGAUGAGGAAUCUUUGGUUUAUUCUGCACCGACUUUCAUUAAUAGAAAAGCUACUAAAACAGGGAGAAGGAAGACAACACCUACAGAGGAGGAGAGCAUCUACACUGAUGUCAAGAUUCAUGGAUGAACAUCUUGACACCGGAUUUACUUCACUAUGAUUUUGUUGAACAUUGUGGUAAAUGUGUUUUCGUUUUUCCUUUUGGAUGAUCUAAAAGCAUUCUUAUAUAUCUGAUCAUUUUUGUGUGCAAAGAGAAAGAAUCAUGAUGCAACAUACCGUUAAUUAAAUCAGUUUAGAUGUUGCAGUAGACAUAAGUACAAUGUAUCCCAUAAGAACUUUUGUUAAAGCUGUGCACCGAGAGAAUAUUUUCCUAAAUAUAUUUACGGACGGUUGAUGUAUAUGUACGUAUUUCUUCAUGACUCAUAUCUACACCUCACUGCCAUGUCAACACAAUAAACUGAAAGGAAAUGCUGGUUUUGUAGAUGUGUUGCUUUUUAGUUAUUAAUCAAUUAUAUCAAUCAACCUUCAUUUAAAGUUGGAGCUACACUGAGGCACAGGACACGUGGUUUAAUUGCUUUUAUGACAUCUAUUUUUAAUCUGCUAUUUUCAGUUGUGAUGUGUUUAUUUUAGAAACACCUCAAUCAAUGUAAGUUGCUUUGUGUUAAUUAAA